GAUGAACGCUGGCGGCGUGCCUAAUACAUGCCAGUCGAGCGAACAGACGAGGAGCUUGCUCCUCUGACGUUAGCGGCGGACGGGUGAGUAACACGUGGAUAACCUACCUAUAAGACUGGGAUAACUUCGGGAAACCGGAGCUAAUACCGGAUAACAUGUUGAACCGCAUGGUUCAACAGUGAAAGACGGUCUUGCUGUCACUUAUAGAUGGAUCCGCGCCGCAUUAGCUAGUUGGUAAGGUAACUGCUUACCAAGGCAACGAUGCGUAGCCGACCUGAGAGGGUGAUCGGCCACACUGGAACUGAGACACGGUCCAGACUCCUACGGGAGGCAGCAGUAGGGAAUCUUCCGCAAUGGGCGAAAGCCUGACGGAGCAACGCCGCGUGAGUGAAGAAGGUCUUCGGAUCGUAAAACUCUGUUAUUAGGGAAGAACAAAUGUGUAAGUAACUAUGCACGUCUUGACGGUACCUAAUCAGAAAGCCACGGCUAACUACGUG
rnacentral:rRNA from 1 species